UACGGAGGGUGCGAGCGUUAUCCGGAAUUACUGGGUUUAAAGGGUGCGUAGGCGGAUAUAUAAGUCAGGAGUGAAAUGUUACAGCUUAACUGUAGAGUUGCUUUUGAUACUGUAUAUCUUGAAUUGGGUGGAGGUCAGCGGAAUGUGACAUGUAGCGGUGAAAUGCAUAGAUAUGUCAUAGAACACCGAUUGCGAAGGCAGCUGACUAUGCCUUGAUUGACGCUGAGGCACGAAAGCGUGGGGAGCGAACAGG
rnacentral:rRNA from 1 species